AAACCGAGGGAGCCAGGAGUCGCGAGGAGAGAAGACACCGGAGGAAAGAGACGUAUCCAAGUCCAGGUUUGAGGUACCAGCGCAGCCAAAGCGAGACAGUUUCCCUCAGACCCCCCCAGGGAGGAGCCGGAAGAAGCUCCCGCAGCGACUGCUACAAACUUCAUCCCUGGUUAGAAAACUCACAAUCAAAAGAUGCCGCUUACUGUUUUGCAUGUCGGCAUUUUUCCAGACAGAAAAGAGGCUAUCGAGUUUGGCUGCACUCAGCAUUGAAUCAACGCACAAAAGCAUCAGAUCUCGAUCAAUUUGUGAAGAGCAGCAUGGAAAUCACCACGUUCAGCUGUUAUAGACAUGCCAACUUCAUGUUAUGCUCACUGGUGAGGCUUUACAAAGGUCUUUAAAUGAUGACCUCAACAGAAUCUGCACUUUUUGUUUUUUUUCUGUAUUUAUAUCUUUGUUUUGGCAACUGAGAAACUCUGAUAUCACCUUUAAUAAAACCUAGUGUUUAAAAUUUGA